AGCAGGAGAGGAGGCAGAGCCAGGGCAAUCGCCGCCUCCUGUGCUUUCUCUCCCUCCUGCAGUGCCCUUGCCAUCGCUGAGGUGAGCCGGGCUGUCUGUGAUGGGGAUGGAGGCACAGCCGUGUGCUGGGGACAGGCUGGGGGUGCUGUGUGCAGCCCCUGUGAGCCUCCAAAAGCUCAAACCUGCAGGAUUCAGCCUGCCCCUGAGCUACCUCCGCAUGCUGCAGUGACGGGUCCGGGGGGAGCAGGGCAGGAUGCGGCCCCUGUGCCGGCACAGACGUGGCACUGCCAGGGGGAGAGGCCGGGCUCCUCUCUUGGGAAAAGGCACGUUUUGGGCAGAUGGGCCGUGGCAGAGGAUGCCCCAACAGCUGGAGCAUCGCUCACCAGCACAGACCUGCCUGGACUGGAGCUGGCAGCCAGCCUGGCUGCAGCACUGCGUGGGUUUGGGGAGCUCACCCCGCCGGGGCUGAGCAUCGUGGAGACUUCGGAAACGGGGCUGGGAGCCUCAGUGCGGGGCUGCCUGACCCCAGGUAGGGUCGGGUGGGCACGGGGGAAGAGGCAGAAGGUUAGGCAGAAAGCUGGGCACCUCACCGUUCUCCUGGGAGGCCGGGGGGCCGGGGCUGUCCCCGCUCUGCACCGUGGGGCUCGCUGUCACGCCGAGACAUGGCCACGCCAGCGCCGGGCUCAGCGGGCACUUGAUCCGGGGGGGCUCGGGGGAGCUGGACGGCAGCACCGGGGCCGUGCCCUGCGGCGAGGCGGGACCGGGGGCUGCCGUGCCAGGGGGCAGCAGUCUCUUCUCCACGCCGGGCUGCGGGCCUGCCGGCAGCAAGCUCUGCUUGGAGUCGGGCUCUGCACCGGGGGUGCCAAGGAAGCCAUCGGGAGCGGGGCCGGGGGUGCCGGUGGCACAGAGCAUCCCGCGGGCCGGGGCAGCGGCACCGCUCUGGCCGUGCAGCAGCAAGUCCGGGGCGACCUCCAGCAUCCCCCCGGCCACGCAGAGGGGCGCGGGUGGCCCCGGCGGGACCCCGGCCGCCGUCACCCUGAAGGACGAUCCCGAGAGCAGCGGGUCGGGCAGCUGCGGGCUGGGCUUGUUGAAGAGGGCGAAGAUGUUGUGGAAGAGCUUCUCCUGGGGCCGCUGGCGGAGCAGCGGGUGCUUCUCCAUGGCCAGCUCCUUGCGGGCGUCGAUGACCAUGUUGUGCCACUUCUUGCGGAUCUCGUCGGGCGUGCGCUGCACCAGGGGGCUCAGCGAGUUGACGGCGGCCGCGAUCUCCUCCCAGGCCCGCUGCCGGUCCAGCGUGUUCUUGUAGCGGCCGCUCUUGGGGAUGAGGAUGUCCUUGCGCAGGCUGAACUCCUCCAGGAUGAGGAAUUUCUCCUCCUCGGAGAACUUGAUGCGCUUGGGCUUGGCCGCGCUCAUGCUGCCCCCGCGCCGGCCGAGCAGGGGGCGGCUCGGGGG
rnacentral:lncRNA from 1 species